CCAAGAUCCUGGGCUCUCUGGGGCAGUGACAGCUCUUUUCUACAUGUCUGUGAAAUGCAUUUGCUCUUAGAUUCCCAGUGAUUUCAACCAUCUUUGGAGUAUCUGCUCAAGAACAAUAACAAGCAUGAAUAAGUAUAAGAAAUGAAUCACUGUUGUGAUUGUUAGAGAGCACAGAAGUGGUAGAAGAUAGGUAGAAGAAAACUGGAGAGAAGAGAAACUAGGUAGGUAAAUGUAUCCAAGGAUGCCAUAGAGUUUCACAUCCAUUUUCUUAAAGCUGGCCCCUGGGUUAAACGAUGAAGAGAUGCCAGAGUCUAGGAUGGGCACACAAAGACCCCAGUGGUGAAUUAUCAGAUCUUUGUCUCAUUUUCAGAUCAUGGACAUUGAAAAUAUCACCUGAGUCUCUUCCAAUGAUGUGUUAUUCAUUUAAAUGUGCAUAGAUCAGUAAUUCUCAACCAGGUUGUCACAGCACUCUUGGGUGCCACCAGAUCCUUUGAAGGGUGCUGCAAAGCAUGAGAAGAUAAUCCAGGUGUGAGGAUAUAAGCAGAUAAUUGCAGGCUCAGGCUGGACUGUGCUCAUUGACCCCCUACCUGGCCCCGCUGCAGAAAGGGAAUUGAAAAACCAUGACGCAGCAAUAUGUUUCUUCAGUGCGUCCAAAGAAACUGGUUUCCCAACAUAACUCCUGCCCACAGAAAUAACAGCUCCAUCCAGAGGAACUGGCAACAAGACAUUCUUCCUAUCCUGUUAAAGAUGAACAGAAAGCAUUUUGGGGGGAAACGACUGUCAUAGGAAGUAAAGCUCAGAUCAUUAGAGCAGGAACCUGGGAGUUAGGACCAUUAAAUUCUAUUUGUAGCUCUGAUACCAGCUUGUUUCACACAAUUUCACCGUUCUGUGCCUCAGUUUCCCCAUCUUUAAAUACAGCUAAAUAGGAAUGCUGGGAGACCAAAUGAGCUAGUUAAAUACAAAUCCUCUGCUGAAAGGCACUA